UACAGAGGUCCCGAGCGUUGUUCGGAUUCACUGGGCGUAAAGGGUGCGUAGGUGGUGAGGUAAGUCGGAUGUGAAAGCUCGGAGCUCAACUCCGAAAUGGCAUUGGAAACUACCUUGCUCGAGGGUUGGAGGGGGGACUGGAAUGCUUGGUGUAGCAGUGAAAUGCGUAGAUAUCAAGCGGAACACCAGCGGCGAAGGCGAGUCCCUGGACAACUCCUGACACUGAGGCACGAAAGCGUGGGGAGCAAACAGG
rnacentral:rRNA from 1 species